GGAUGCGAUCAUACCAGCGCUAAAGCACCGGAUCCCAUCAGAACUACGAGAGUAGUACUAGGAUGGGUGACCUCCUGGGAAGUCCUCGUGUUGCAUUCC
rnacentral:rRNA from 1 species